rnacentral:rRNA from 1 species
UAACUGGAGGACCGAACCGACUAAUGUUGAAAAAUUAGCGGAUGACUUGUGGCUGGGGGUGAAAGGCCAAUCAAACCGGGAGAUAGCUGGUUCUCCCCGAAAGCUAUUUAGGUAGCGCCUCGUGAAUUCAUCUCCGGGGGUAGAGCACUGUUUCGGCAAGGGGGUCAUCCCGACUUACCAACCCGAUGCAAACUGCGAAUACCGGAGAAUGUUAUCACGGGAGACACACGGCGGGUGCUAACGUCCGUCGUGAAGAGGGAAACAACCCAGACCGCCAGCUAAGGUCCCAAAGUCAUGGUUAAGUGGGAAACGAUGUGGGAAGGCCCAGACAGCCAGGAUGUUGGCUUAGAAGCAGCCAUCAUUUAAAGAAAGCGUAAUAGCUCACUGGUCGAGUCGGCCUGCGCGGAAGAUGUAACGGGGCUAAACCAUG